CAACGUAGGUAACCUGCCCCGGAGCGGGGGAGUAACAUUUGGAAACAGAUGCUAAUACCGCAUAACAAUAAAAGACCGCAUGGCUUUUAUUUGAAAGAUGGCUUUGGCUAUCACUCUGGGAUGGACCUGCGGUGCAUUAGCUAGUUGGUAAGGUAACGGCUUACCAAGGCGAUGAUGCAUAGCCGAGUUGAGAGACUGGUCGGCCACAAUGGAACUGAGACACGGUCCAUACUCCUACGGGAGGCAGCAG
rnacentral:rRNA from 1 species